rnacentral:rRNA from 1 species
AGACGGGUGAGGAACACGUACGCAACCUCCCUUUAACUGGGGCACAACCUUGAGAAAUCAGGGCUAAUUCCCCAUAACAUUGCGAAAGGGCAUCCAAUUGCAAUUAAAGAUUCGUCGGUUAGAGAUGGGCGUGCGUUCGAUUAGCUAGUUGGUAAGGUAACGGCUUACCAAGGCAACGAUCGAUAGCUGGUGUGAGAGCACGACCAGCCACACGGGCACUGAGAUACGGGCCCGACUCCUACGGGAGGCAGCAGUAAGGAAUAUUGGUCAAUGGGCGAAAGCCUGAACCAGCCAUGCCGCGUGAAGGAUGAAGGUCCUCUGGAUUGUAAACUUCUUUUAUCUAUGAAUAAACGCCUGAUUUCUAUCGGGUUUGAAGGUAAUAGAUGAAUAAGCACCGGCUAACUCCGUGCCAGCAGCCGCGGUAAUACGGAGGGUGCAAGCGUUAUCCGGAUUCACUGGGUUUAAAGGGUGCGUAGGUUGAUAGGUAAGUCAGUGGUGAAAUACUCCGACUCAAUCGGAGAACUGCCGUUGAUACUAUUUAUCUUGAAUACGGUGGAGGCGGGCGGAAUGCGUCAUGUAGUGGUGAAAUACUUAGAUAUGACGCAGAACACCCAUUGCGAAGGCAGCUCGCUACACCGGCAUUGACACUG